GAUGAACGCUGGCGGCGUGCCUAAUACAUGCAAGUCGAGCGAACAGACGAGGAGCUUGCUCCUCUGACGUUAGCGGCGGACGGGUGAGUAACACGUGGAUAACCUACCUAUAAGACUGGGAUAACUUCGGGAAACCGGAGCUAAUACCGGAUAAUAUAUUGAACCGCAUGGUUCAAUAGUGAAAGACGGUUUUGCUGUCACUUAUAGCUGGAUCCGCGCCGCAUUAGCUAGUUGGUAAGGUAACGGCUUACCAAGGCGACGAUGCGUAGCCGACCUGAGAGGGUGAUCGGCCACACUGGAACUGAGACACGGUCCAGACUCCUACGGGAGGCAGCAGUAGGGAAUCUUCCGCAAUGGGCGAAAGCCUGACGGAGCAACGCCGCGUGAGUGAUGAAGGUCUUCGGAUCGUAAAACUCUGUUAUCAGGGAAGAACAAAUGUGUAAGUAACUAUGCACGUCUUGACGGUACCUAAUCAGAAAGCCACGGCUAACUACGUG
rnacentral:rRNA from 1 species